UGAGUAACACGUAUCCAACCUGCCGUCUACUCUUGGCCAGCCUUCUGAAAGGAAGAUUAAUCCAGGAUGGCAUCAUGAGUUCACAUGUCCGCAUGAUUAAAGGUAUUUUCCGGUAGACGAUGGGGAUGCGUUCCAUUAGAUAGUAGGCGGGGUAACGGCCCACCUAGUCAACGAUGGAUAGGGGUUCUGAGAAGAAGGUCCCCCACAUUGGAACUGAGACACGGUCCAA
rnacentral:rRNA from 1 species